rnacentral:rRNA from 1 species
CAGUAGCCGCGGUAAUACGAGGGGAGCUAGCGUUGUUCGGAAUUACUGGGCGUAAAGCGCGCGUAGGCGGCUUUUUAAGUCAGAGGUGAAAGCCCGGGGCUCAACCCCGGAAUUGCCUUUGAAACUGGAAAGCUAGAAUCUUGGAGAGGUCAGUGGAAUUCCGAGUGUAGAGGUGAAAUUCGUAGAUAUUCGGAAGAACACCAGUGGCGAAGGCGACUGACUGGACAAGUAUUGACGCUGAGGUGCGAAAGCGUGGGGAGCAAACAGGAUUAGAUACCCCCGUAGUCCCUGUCUCUUAUAC